rnacentral:rRNA from 1 species
UCCUACGGGAGGCAGCAGUGGGGAAUCUUGCACAAUGGAGGAAACUCUGAUGCAGCGAUGCCGCGUGAGUGAAGAAGGCCCUUGGGUUGUAAAGCUCUUUCGUCGGGGAAGAAAAUGACUGUACCCGAAUAAGAAGGUCCGGCUAACUUCGUGCCAGCAGCCG